GAUCAGCUGAGCUCUUAUCCAUUUAAAACAGAGCUUCCCACAAAGACACUCAGCUACUGAGACCUGAACAGCCAUUCAGCGGGCGCACACAUACACACGCCUCCCUUCAGAGCGACUGAUCACUCUAUAGCAACUGCAAGUUCGCACUGAAGGCACAGCGCAAAGAAUAUGAACGUCAAGUUCCACAUACUCGUUCUCUUGGUCCUCUUUGUCUCUCUGACUCUUGUAUCGGGAGGGCCAGUUGCCAUCCUUUCAGAGGGAUCAGCAUUGGAUGAGGGAGGCAUCAGGACUUAUGUCCGAAAAUUAGGCAGACGUCCCAACCAAAGACAAGUACCAAUGAAGAAAUAUAGGAGGCUGAGACCCCGGCUCUCUCACAAAGGACCCAUGCCUUUCUGAAUCAGGUAUCUCUGAAAUUCUCUUUCCUUCCAAGUUCAUAUCUACCUUUGAAACCUCAAGAUCACCCAGUCUGCCCCUAGAAGCAGAGCACCCAAGCCUCACCAUAGCAAAUCUCCAUUUGCAAGCAUCUUAAUGUCGACAAUGAAGACAAAUGUAUCCCAGAAGUGAAAAGGAACAGGACCUUGUUUGCUUAGCUGACCUGUGACCUUGUCAGACUCCCCCUGCACUGUGCAGUGUGUGAUUUGGGGGCCUGUCCACAACGAUUUUAUCUUAACACAACACAGCUGUCUCCUUUGGGAGAGCACAUCUAUCUCAGGGUGUUUAAAAAAAACAUGCAAAAAAAGUUGUGCCGAUACCUAUGUAUUAAAUUUGGAAAACAAAUUGUUGUUCUGUAGGGCCAAGGAAGAUUCUAAUUCUUCAUAAGAUAUUCUGUAAAUACUUUAAUUUUUGUUACUAAAUUAUAAAUUUAUGCUUAGCUCUUUGGAGCAGUACAUUUCUGUAGCUUGUGGCAUAAGCUGUUUUGUCUAUUCUUAUAAAGAUUGUGUGCUAAUUAAUCCUAAUUAUUGUAAAAAAAAAGCUUAGAAAUAAUUAUUAAAAUAAAAUGCUUCACUUUAUUAUAUUAAGGAGUCGUGCUGCUAAUAUAUUGUCAUUGAAGGGGAGGCUCCCAAAU